rnacentral:rRNA from 1 species
AUUGAACGCUGGCGGCAUGCCUUACACAUGCAAGUCGAACGGCAGCACGGGAGCAAUCCUGGUGGCGAGUGGCGAACGGGUGAGUAAUGUAUCGGAACGUACCUUUCAGUGGGGGAUAACGUAGCGAAAGUUACGCUAAUACCGCAUAUUCUGUGAGCAGGAAAGCAGGGGAUCGCAAGACCUUGCGCUGAUUGAGCGGCCGAUGUCAGAUUAGCUAGUUGGUGAGGUAAAGGCUCACCAAGGCGACGAUCUGUAGCGGGUCUGAGAGGAUGAUCCGCCACACUGGAACUGAGACACGGUCCAGACUCCUACGGGAGGCAGCAGUGGGGAAUUUUGGACAAUGGGCGCAAGCCUGAUCCAGCCAUGCCGCGUGAGUGAAGAAGGCCUCGGUUGUAAGACGUCUUCUAGUCCGGAAGAAACGACGAUAGGUUAAGUACCGUACGUGUGG